rnacentral:lncRNA from 1 species
GGGUGGCUUAGAAAUAUGAAAUGAAUGGUUAAUGAUUGGGAACAAAAGCAUGUGCUAUGGAGACAAAAAAAAAAAAAAAAAAAAAAAAAAAUUAGGUUGAGCUAAGAUGUGGCAUUGUCUGAUCUGAAUGUAGAAGUGUAAAGAAUAACGUAGAUAUAACCUUUUUAAGUGCAACUUCAAUAAUCAAUAUCACUCUUUGGAUUCACAUGCAUGCUCUCUCCAUCUCAAUAUCUGUUGCUUUCGUGUACCACUAUCCAACAAAUCAAUGAAUC